rnacentral:rRNA from 1 species
GACGAACGCUGGCGGCGUGCUUAACACAUGCAAGUCGAACGGUAAGGCCCUUCGGGGUACACGAGUGGCGAACGGGUGAGUAACACGUGGGUGAUCUGCCCUGCACUUCGGGAUAAGCCUGGGUAACUGGGUCUAAUACCGGAUAGGACCACUGCCUGCAUGGGUGGUGGUGGAAAGCUUUUGCGGUGUGGGAUGGGCCCGCGGCCUAUCAGCUUGUUGGUGGGGUGAUGGCCUACCAAGGCGACGACGGGUAGCGGGCCUGAGAGGGUGACCGGCCACACUGGGAGUGAGAGACGGCUCAGACUCCUACGGGAGGGAGCAGUGGGGAGUAUUGCAGAAUGGGGGCAAGCCUGAUGCAGCGACGCCGCGUGAGGAAUGAAGGCCUUCGGGUUGUAAAGCUCUUUUAGCAGGGAAGAAGCGAAAGUGCCGGUACCUGCAGAAAAAGCGCCGGCUAACUACGUGCCAGCAGCCGCGGUAA